GGGUGCGAUUAUACCAGCACUAAUGCAACGGAUCCCAUCAGAACUCUGUAGUUAAGCGUGCUUGUGCGAGAGUAGUACUAGGAUGGGUGACCUCCUGGGAAGUCCUCGUGUUGCACCCC
rfam:Gossypium raimondii Chr04_contig_1401, whole genome shotgun sequence.